CCGCCUAGUAUAUGAGCACCAGCAGCAGUGACUUCAGUGUCUCUGUUUCCCUGUUUGUCCACAGACUCAAACUAAGGCAGAAGUACAACAGAUGAUCCAGGAGAGACUGAAGAAGGUGGAGGAGAUCAAACAGGCAGUGGAGCUCAGCAAAAGCUCUACAGAGAGAGAGAUUGUGGACAGUGUGCAGGUCUUCACUGCUCUUCGAAACUCCAUUGAGAGGAGCCAGGCUGAGCUCAUCGAGCUGAUUGAGGAGAAGCAGAGAGCAGCAGAGAGGAGGGCUGAAGGGAUCAUUAAAGAGCUGG
rnacentral:lncRNA from 1 species